AAAAACAUAGCCUUUAUAUUAAUUAAAGGUGAUGCCUGCCCAGUGAAGGGGUCUUAAAAAUUUUAAUAAUGUUUUAAUUUCCUUUAAACGGAUGCGGUAACUCUGACUGUAAUAAAGUAGCAUAAUAAAUUGUCAUUUAAUUGGUGGAGAGAAUGAAUGGCUAAACGAAUGUUUCAUUGUCUUGGGGGAAAUAUUUUGAAAUUAGAAUGAUAGUGAAGAUCCUAUCUGACACCGUUAGACGAAAAGACCCUAUAGAGCUUGACUAUACCUCAGAAAAAAAAUUUUCUGGGUUGGUAGUUUAGUUGGGGCGACUAUCUUUUAUAAAAAACAAAGAUAAGCAUGAUAAUAUUCAAAUAAUUUUAUUGUUUAAUUAAUUUAUUUAACAAUUACAAAUGUAGGCUAUAAUGACCCAUUAGGAUUUUAAUAGAUCUAAUGAUUAAUAAAUAAAAGCUACCUUAGGGAAACAGGAUAAUUUUGUUUUAGAGAUCUAAUCAAGUACAAAGUUUGUCACCUCGAUG
rnacentral:rRNA from 1 species